UGGGGAAUAUUGGACAAUGGGGGCAACCCUGAUCCAGCCAUGCCGCGUGAGUGAUGAAGGCCCUAGGGUUGUAAAGCUCUUUCGGUGGGGAAGAUAAUGACGGUACCCACAGAAGAGGCCCCGGCUAACUUCGUGCCAGCAGCCGCGGUAAUACGAAGGGGGCUAGCGUUGCUCGGAAUCACUGGGCGUAAAGCGCACGUAGGCGGCUUUCUAAGUCAGGGGUGAAAUCCCGGAGCUCAACUCCGGAACUGCCUUUGAUACUGGGAGGCUCGAGUCCGGGAGAGGUGAGUGGAACUGCGAGAGUAGAGGUGAAAUGCGUAGAUAUGCGCAAGAACACCAGGGGCGAAGGCGGCUCACUGGCCCGGUACUGACGCUGAGGUGCGAAAGCGUGGGGAGCAAACA
rnacentral:rRNA from 1 species